CACGUAGGGGGCGAGCGUUGUCCGGAUUUAUUGGGCGUAAAGAGCUCGUAGGCGGCUCAGUAAGUCAGGUGUGAAAACUCCAGGCUCAACCUGGAGACGCCACCUGAUACUGCUGUGGCUAGAGUCCGGUAGGGGAGCAUGGAAUUCCUGGUGUAGCGGUGAAAUGCGCAGAUAUCAGGAGGAACACCAGUGGCGAAGGCGGUGCUCUGGGCCGGAACUGACGCUCAUGCACGAAAGCGUGGGGAGCAAGCAGG
rnacentral:rRNA from 1 species